GAGUUGUUACGUUCAGAUAGAAAUAGACCAUGUAGAACAUAUGUUGAUUCUUAUCAAGUUGGUGGGCAGGCAAUCUUUUCUACUCCAUAUAUUGCAUUUAUAUCUGUAAUGAUUAACCCUAAUGGUCUCAGAUCAGCAUUAGAAAGAAGUAGGCCUAAUUAUUUUAGGUGUAAUCUUCAAAGAUAUUAGGGGGAAAUAAACACUGUACCCAAAUCCACGUUUUACAAUGCUCCUGGGAAAUGGGUAGGCCUCCACCUAUAGUCCUUCACAGUUUUACAGCUGUGAUAUAUUUAUUUAUUUACAUAGAUCACAUACAUAAAUAAAUAUGUUAGCUGUAGGUAGCGUUGAGAUAAAAUUCCCAUAUUCUAUUGCUACUAACAUAAAUCCUAAUAUAUCAUGUUUUCCUCAUUUGCUCUGUAGGAGGUUCGUCAUAUGAAGGACAUUCAAGUGGAUGUGACCCCUAACCUGCAAUAGGGGCUCAGUGAGGUGACAGACAUCCUGUAAUGGAUCUCCAGCUAGUGUCUGAGGACCUGGAGAAGGCUGUGUCUACAGCUGUGGGGCAGGACAAGCAUGGGACAGACAUCCUGAACGACUCUGAUGUCAGAGCUCCCAUCAGCCCUCUACACCUCGCUGAACCUCCGAUGUUGAUGCUGGGCGGGAGCAAAAAUGGGCUCCCGAUUGAAAGACUCUGGUCUACUUUAGAGGUCUAGCACUGUAUUUCUGUUCAGGCGUACCACGGGUCUACUCUAGGACAUUGAUUAUAUUAAGAGUGAAUAUCUAUUCAGGCGUACCACAGUCACCACCAUGCUAUGGAGGUCCUGGUUCAGUCUCUGCUGGAUCUAGACGUGAGGGACAGCCAGGGGCGCACCCCUCUGGACCUGGCUGCCUUAAAAAGCCAUGUGGAGUGUGUUGACGUCCUCAUCAACCAGGAAGCCUCCAUCCUGGUUAAAGACUUCACUCUGAAGAGGACCCCCAUCCACGCUGCAGGUAGACAUUUAUUUUUUAUUUU